rnacentral:rRNA from 1 species
GAUGAACGCUGGCGGCGUGCCUAAUACAUGCAAGUCGAGCGAACAGAUAAGGAGCUUGCUCCUUUUACGUUAGCGGCGGACGGGUGAGUACCACGUGGGUAACCUACCUAUAAGACUGGGAUAACUUCGGGAAACCGGAGCCAAUACCGGAUAAUAUUUCGAACCGCAUGGUUCUAUAGUGGACGAGGGUUUUGCUAUCACUUAUAGAUGGACCCGCGCCGUAUUAGCUAGUUGGUAAGGUAACGGCUUACCAAGGCGAAGAUUCGUAGCCGACCUGUGAGGGUGAUCCGUCCAAACGGAACUGGAAACCGGUCCCAGCUCCCACGGGAGGGAGGAGGGGGGAAAUCUUCAGAAUGGGGCGAAGGCCGAACGAGGCAAGGCGCGUGGGUGAAGAAGGUCUUUGGAUUGGAAAACCCUUGUUAUUGGGGAAAAACAAAGUUGGAAGAAACGGUGCUCGUCUGACGGGUACCAAAGCAGAAGGCCCCGCCAACCUCGUG